rnacentral:rRNA from 1 species
AUUGAACGCUGGCGGCAGGCCUAACACAUGCAAGUCGAGCGGAUGAAGGGAGCUUGCUCCUGGAUUCAGCGGCGGACGGGUGAGUAAUGCCUAGGAAUCUGCCUGGUAGAGGGGGAUAACGUCCGGAAACGGGCGCUAAUACCGCAUACGUCCUGAGGGAGAAAGUGGGGGUUCUUCGGACCUCACGCUAUCAGAUGAGCCUAGGUCGGAUUAGCUAGUUGGUGGGGUAAAGGCCUACCAAGGCGACGAUCCGUAACUGGUCUGAGAGGAUGAUCAGUCACACUGGAACUGAGACACGGUCCAGACUCCUACGGGAGGCAGCAGUGGGGAAUUUUGGACAAUGGGCGAAAGCCUGAUCCAGCCAUGCCGCGUGUGUGAAGAAGGUCUUCGGAUUGUAAAGCACUUUAAGUUGGGAGGAAGGGCAGUAAGUUAAUACCUUGCUAUUUUGACGUUACCAACAGAAUAAGCACCGGCUAACUUCGUG